CACUGGUAUUCGAGUGGCGAACGGGUGAGUAACACGUGGGUGAUCUGCCUUGCACUCUGGGAUAAGCUUGGGAAACUGGGUCUAAUACCGGAUAGGAACCGUCUUUAGUGUGGUGGUUGGAAAGUUUUUCGGUGCAAGAUGAGCUCGCGGCCUAUCAGCUUGUUGGUGGGGUAAUGGCCUACCAAGGCGUCGACGGGUAGCCGGCCUGAGAGGGUGUACGGCCACAUUGGGACUGAGAUACGGCCCAG
rnacentral:rRNA from 1 species